UACGGAGGGAGCUAGCGUUGUUCGGAAUUACUGGGCGUAAAGCGCGCGUAGGCGGCUUUGUAAGUUAGAGGUGAAAGCCCGGGGCUCAACCCCGGAACUGCCUUUAAGACUGCAUCGCUUGAAUCCAGGAGAGGUGAGUGGAAUUCCGAGUGUAGAGGUGAAAUUCGUAGAUAUUCGGAAGAACACCAGUGGCGAAGGCGGCUCACUGGACGACUGUUGACGCUGAGGUGCGAAAGCGUGGGGAGCAAACAGG
rnacentral:rRNA from 1 species